rnacentral:misc_RNA from 1 species
CGCACAUUGCGCCCUCUGGUAUUCCGGGGGGCAUGCCUGUUCGAGCGUCACUACACCCCUCAAGCUCUGCUUGGUGUUGGGUGCCACCCUUGGGUGCACCUCAAAAUCAGUGGCGGUGCCGUCUGGCUUCAAGCGUAGUAAUUCUCUCGCUCUGGGGCCAGGCGUCCCUCGCCAGAACACUUUUUUUUAUCAGGUUGACCUCGGAUCAGGUAGGGAUACCCGCUGAACUUAA